rnacentral:rRNA from 1 species
CCUACGGGCGGCUGCAGUGGGGAAUAUUGGGCAAUGGGCGCAAGCCUGACCCAGCGACGCCGCGUGAGGGAAGAAGGCCUUUGGGUCGUAAACCUCUGUUGUAUGGGAAGAAGGAAGUGACGGUACCAUACGAGGAAGUCCCGGCUAACUACGUGCCAGCAGCCGCGGUAAUACGUAGGGGACGAGCGUUGUCCGGAAUUACUGGGCGUAAAGGGCGCGCAGGCGGAUAUUUAAGUCAGCUGUAAAAGGCAUGAGCUCAACUCAUGUAUGCGGUUGAAACUGGGUAUCUAGAGUGCUGGAGAGGUAGGCGGAAUUCCCGGUGUAGCGGUGAAAUGCGUAGAUAUCGGGAAGAACACCAGUGGCGAAGGCGGCUUACUGGCCAGCAACUGACGCUGAGGCGCGAAAGCCAGGGGAGCGAACGGGCUUAGAUACCCCGGUAGUC